UACGUAGGGGGCGAGCGUUGUCCGGAUUCAUUGGGCGUAAAGAGCUCGUAGGCGGUUUGGCAAGUCGGGUGUGAAAUCUCUGGGCUCAACUCAGAGAGGCCACUCGAUACUGCUAUGACUAGAGUCCGGUAGGGGACCAUGGAAUUCCUGGUGUAGCGGUGAAAUGCGCAGAUAUCAGGAGGAACACCGGUGGCGAAGGCGGUGGUCUGGGCCGGCACUGACGCUGGAGGAGCGAAAGCGUGGGGAGCGAACAGG
rnacentral:rRNA from 1 species